GUGUCAGCAGCCGCGGUAAUACGUAGGGGGCGAGCGUUGUCCGGAUUUAUUGGGCGUAAAGAGCUCGUAGGCGGUUCGGUAAGUCGGCUGUGAAAUCUCCACGCUCAACGUGGAGGGGUCAGUCGAAACUGCCGUGACUCGAGUCCGGUAGAGGAGUGUGGAAUUCCCGGUGUAGCGGUGAAAUGCGCAGAGAUCGGGAGGAACACCCGUAGCGAAGGCGGCACUCUGGGCCGGUACUGACGCUGAGGAGCGAAAGCGUGGGGAGCAAACAGGAUUAGAAACCCUCGUAGUCC
rnacentral:rRNA from 1 species